rnacentral:piRNA from 1 species
GCUUCAACAGUGCUUGAACGGAACCCGGU